rnacentral:rRNA from 1 species
UACGUAGGGGGCAAGCGUUGUCCGGAAUUACUGGGCGUAAAGCGUGCGUAGGUGGUUUGUUAAGUCUGUUGUGAAAGCCCCGGGCUCAACCUGGGAAUGGCAAUGGAUACUGGCAAGCUAGAGUGCGGUAGAGGGUAGUGGAAUUCCCGGUGUAGCGGUGAAAUGCGUAGAGAUCGGCAGGAACACCCAGGGGGAAACCAGUCGACUGGGCAUCUACUGACGCUGAGGUGCGAGAGCGUGGGGAGCGAACCGG